UAAAAAUGUAAAUUUAAAAUUCUAAGUUAUUAAUAGUUAUAAUCUUUAAAAUUAAAAAAUUUGGCGGUAUUUUAGUCUUUUCAGAGGAACCUGUUCUGUAAUCGAUUUUCCACGAUAAAUUAUACUUUUUUUAUUAAUUUGUAUAUCGUCGUAAAAAAAUAUUUUAAAAGAAAUUAAUGUUUAAAAAUUUUUUUAGAGUAAAAAUCAGAUCAAGAUGCAGUUUAUAUAAAAGGAGAAAUGGGUUACAUUAUAUUUAUAUGUGGAUUAUUAAGUGAAAUAUAAUAUGAAAAUGGAUUUGAAAGUAAUUUUAAUUAUUUUAUAAAAAUGAUUUUAGCUCUAAAAUAUG
rnacentral:rRNA from 1 species